UACGGUAGCACCGUGGUACCGUGCGGUAUGACAAUCAGCGACACAGAUCGGAGAUGAUCGCCCUGUAACUUGGCGUAAGCUGAUGAUAUUUAGGUAACCAGGCGCACGAUUCGUGACCCUACUGAUAGCUGGAGGUCACACAACAGUCAACAUGGCGGCUGGUUCGGAGGGUCUAGGACCAGGAAACUCUCUUCCAACUUUCAAGCAUAUUUAAUCCACGUCAACCAGUUCAACAGGUGCUGAUGAUACUCAACCCAGUCAGGCCACCAGUGUCUUAUCUGUACACAUGGGAUGACAGCAGACAAGAAGCUGAUUAUGCAGUAAUGGAUUAACCUGUUUCUGCAUGGAGGAGUCAUCCAUGAACACCAGCCAAGUCCUACUUUAGAAAAAAAUGUGGAGGUGCAGUCUGUACUGUAGAAAGUUAAGCAACUGGUAUAAGUGUAUAUAGAUUAAACAAUAUGCAGUGUGCUGUGUCUGUAAUUGUUAGAAUGCCAUUAUUAAUAAAUCAGAUUCAGAUGCUCUUUGGAUUGCAGAUACAAAAUACCUCACGUAUCACCAUUAAUGCAAUGUUGUGAGAAACUAUUUUGCAUAUCAAUUACAGUUACUUGCAUUAUAUACCAUAAAUAUAUAUGCUGUCAGUAAUCGUACUUGUCCAUUUAAGCAUGACUGAUUGAAAAGGGAGCAGUAACUUUCUGAUGUUCUGUUCCUUUGAACAGCCUUAGAAUGCAAGGCAACUAUAGGGAAGGAUAGAAUCAUUAUACUAUUUAUGGAUCUGUGUGUUUCAGAUACUCUAUCAAAAAUAGGUAUAUGAGCAGUUUCUGAUGAAUUGAUUUUGAAACCCAGCGUAACAUGUUUAUAGUGCAGUGCUUUUCACCAUGUACACACAUGUAUGAGGUCACUGUCAAUGUACAUUUGUAAGAUGUAUGUGAUGAGGCCUAGUGUGUCAGUCUUGCUAUGCAAUAUUGCCACUCACAUGAUGAUAGGGGUAACAAGAACAGGGAAUUGAUGGUUAAGAAGCUUUUAUUUUGCUUUUGUUUUGUGUGAAGAUAAUCUGAAUAAUCUGGAUUGAUCUAUUUUUCCAUAUCAGUUUCUUACAUAACUGCAAUUCAUGAAUUUUCCUUAUUUGCAAAUGUAUACAAAACAUAAAGUAUUUGCAAGGAUGUGCAAGGAUUAUAUCCAUUUGUAUGAAAAGUGUUGCCUUUUCUUUACAAGUAUUGGAUCCCUUUUGUCAAGCUUUACUUUACAAUCAAGUCAUCAUUUAAUAAACAGUGGUCUUGAUAAACACA